UAACACUUGGUCAUGUGGUCUAGCGGAUACCCGCCCUGUGGCCUAGGCAUGAAUUGCCAUAGAAUAUCUCUUUUAAACAUGGAGCUAACGCCUCAUCAUUAGGCCUGAUAGGUACUCGCCUUGUAGCUUGGUAUAAAAUGCCUUAGUUAACAAGACUAACACUUGUUUAUGGAGCCUAGCAGAUACCAACCUUGUGGCUAUAGAAUACAUAACUUGAAAAAAAAUAAUAAAUCA
rnacentral:lncRNA from 1 species